CCUACGGGAGGCUGCAGUGGGGAAUUUUGGACAAUGGGCGCAAGCCUGAUCCAGCCAUGCCGCGUGAGUGAAGAAGGCCUUCGGGUUGUAAAGCUCUUUCGGCCGGAACGAAAUCGUCCGGGCUAAUACCUCGGAUGGAUGACGGUACUGGAAGAAGAAGCACCGGCUAACUACGUGCCAGCAGCCGCGGUAAUACGUAGGGUGCAGGCGUUAAUCGGAAUGACUGCACGUAAAGCCCUAGGUCAGAUGUGAAAGCCCCGGGCUUAACCUGGGAACUGCGUUUGAAACUGGGAGGCUGGAGUGCGGCAGAGGGGGGUGGAAUUCCACGUGUAGCAGUGAAAUGCGUAGAUAUGUGGAGGAACACCGAUGGCGAAGGCAGCCCCCUGGGCCUGCACUGACGCUCAUGCACGAAAGCGUGGGGAGCAAACAGGAUUAGAUACCCUUGUAGUC
rnacentral:rRNA from 1 species